CUCGCAGGCGUUGGAGACUUAGGGGCCAAGAUGGCGACAGGAUCGGGCAGUGAGUAUUUGCGUGGAAGGCUUUUGUGGAGCGAAGCAAGGCAUAGCAUUUUUGGCACACACUAAGGAAGUGGGAGGAGUGGGAUAACUGAGAUCCUAAAGUGUUCAACGGCUUCGUGAGGGCCGGCGUUUGGGGUUUGAGACAUAAAUAUAAGCUGUUGCGUCUCAGGGAAGGAGGGAGGUUUGAGAGAAGCAGCUCAGCGAGUCUUUGUAUCAAGAGUUCUGCGGGGUAGGAGAGAAAGGCACUCUAGAAACUUGGGCGUUAAAACGAAGAGAUGUGAGCCAUAUGGUGUGGCCGGCAGCUCAGAGUCAUUCAUUUUCUGAACAAUGUGAGGCAUUCGAAGUGUGAUCACUUUAAAUCACGAGCUUUUUCUGUCACUGGGAAAUUGCGUUUCGUGAAUUUCAUUUUUAUCCGUUUCAUAGAGAAUGUUUUUAGGUCCGUCGGUUGGGGGAGGGGCUGAAAGAAGUAAACAAGUUUAUGCUAAGAGGGAGGCGGGGCAGUAGGAAGGGCGGGCGCUAGGAAUCUUGGGAAAUAAGCUCGCCUUCAAAUUGGAAUAAAGGUUUUUUUUUUUUUUUUUAAAUUAAUUAGCCCCUUGGCGUCGCUUUGGGAUUGAACCCCUCAGUGGCAUCUUACCACUGAGGUACCUCCCUAUCCCCGCUACAUUCCCCACCCCCUAACUUUUUUUUUUCCUUCUUCGGGCUGGCCUCGAAAUUGCAAUCCUCCAGCCUCAGCCUACCUAGUAGCUGGCAUUACAGGAAAACACCCCUGCACCCAGCUGGAAUAAAGUAUUCUUCAAACUGAACUUUCUAAAGAAUUACUUCAUAUUAAUCUGACUUUCCCAAUUUUUAAAAUAUAAAGCCGAGCUUAAAGUCGUGGCAUCUGAGGAGAUAAAAUGUUCUACUAUAAUUCACAUGCAAACAAUAGAUAAGGUCAAUGUAGUUAAUUGUAGUGGUGAAAAUCAAGUGUUGGUGAUUGCUUAAGAGUGCUGAGCUUGGUGGCUCAUGCCUGUAAUCCUAGCGGUUCCGGAGGCUGAGGCAGGAGAAUCACAAGUUCAAAACCAACCUAAGCAAUUUAGCAAGACCCUGUUUCAAAAUAAAAAAUAAAAGGGGCUGGGAAUGUGGUUUAGUGGUUAGGCACCCAUGGAUUCAAUCCUUGGCACCAAAAAAAAAAAAAAAGUUUCGGUGGUGCAAGCCUGUUAACCUUUGCAGCUCAGGAGUCUGAGGCAAGAGGAUUGCAAAUCUGAGGCCAGCCUCAGCAAAUUAGCCAAGACCUAAGCAACUUAGACCCUGUCUCAAAAAGGGUGUGUGUUUGUGUAGCUUAGUGAUAAAGAUCUGGGUUCAAGAAUCAAUCCUAGUUUAAAAGAAAGUUGGUGAUAGUAGCUUGUUUUGUUCCAACAAUUGGUAUAUUUUGUAUUAGGCUUUUAGUUGUUGAUUUGGUGCUUAAAACUCCUCAGAGGUUGUCUCUAAGCCUUGUUACUUUUCAGAACACAAGCUGCUGAGUACUGGCCCCACAGAGCCAUGGUCCAUCCGGGAGAAGCUGUGUUUAGCAUCUUCAGUCAUGAGGAGUGGAGAUCAAAAUUGGUAAGAUAUCUAGGAUGUCUCCGUUCUUGGGUCUUAAGAAACUUGUCCCCCCUCACACACACACACUUUGGUGGAUUCUUACAGUAAUAUCAAGCUUUAAAUAGUAUUUUUUUCCAAACAGUUUUACUAAAAUAUAUCAUAAAAUUAACCCACUUAAAAUGUAGAACUCAAUCGUUUUUUAGUAUAUUCACAGAGUUGUGCAUCCAUCACCACAGUCUAAUUUUGAACAUUUUCCUUAUCCCUACAAUAAAUCCAUUACUCCUUAGCUGUCACUGCAUUCUCUCUUCUCUCCCAAGCAACUACUUAUCUACUUACUUUUUCUACAGAUUUCAUUUCAUAUAGAAGGAAUCAUAUAACAUGUGGUCUUCUGGCACUGAUUUCUUUUCUUUCUUUCUUUUUUUUUUUUUUGAGAUUAAAAAAGGUUUAUUACUUAGAAAAAAGGUUUAUUUUUUCUUCUUGUCCCAGAAGCUGGAUUCUGCCCAUCAGCAGGAAUAGGCUUUUAAAGAGGUGAUUCAAAGGCUACAUUCCUCAUGUUCUCUGUUUCAGUUGUAAUUCACUUGUUAAUUUGGGGGAUAUUUAUUUCUGAGGUCUUUUGGUACCAUCCCCAAAGUCUCAUUACUUUGUUCCUAUGGUGGGUUUGUACUCAAGGACAGAUAACUCUGCCUAGGAAGGGGUAGAAAGGUAAUCCUGUUUCCCCAGAAAUUAGGGAGGAGCAGGGAGAGAAAGAAAGAAACAUGUCCACUUAAAAAAUAAGUUACAGUGGCAGAGCAACAAGAGCUAUAUUCAAAGCAUAAAGUAGACACUGUUACAUUUCCCCACUGUCAAUUUCUACAUUCCAUUUCUAUGGAAAGAUGGGUGAUGACAUCUCCAAAACUGUUUCCUGCUGCAAGGGGGUGAAAUUGGGGGAAGUAACCCAAAACCCUUGUUCUCUAUUAGGUGGGGUGUGGACAGUUAAGGGGUUUCAGUAUCAGAGUAGUCCAGAGGUCCACAGUUGGCAGGUGGCAGGUGACUGGACAAGGUGUACACAGGCAGGGAUCAUGAAAAUGGUCAAAGUUGUCCGACUUUCCUGAGUUCAAUUUCCUUUUUCUCAAAGUGGACCAGGAUGGAACAACCUUUAUUGUUUGGGGAGAGAAGGCAGGAGUUCCAUGAAGCAAAAGGAGUUUAGGCAGCUGUUGGGAAGCUCCUUUCUUCGGUCCCUUUACUCACAGGAGUAUCCCCCUUGUUCAACCCUAGGCAAACUCACCCAUCUCGUAACUCUCCUGCAGUUGGCUCUCAACAAGUUUGCCAGUCACCUUGCCGACUAAGCAUGGAAAUGAGGUUCGUUGGAGAACCAAGCCUGCCCAAGAAAGCUGGAGCAGGGGCUUCUUUGGGGUUCCUGGGAUGCCAAAUUUGUUACUGAAAGCUUGGUCCUUGUCUCCAGUGCCAAUCCAAUAAGGACAUGGUUUUGAGAAAAAGGGAAAAGAAGGUUUAUUGCUUUUCUAGCUAAGGAGAUUACACAAGACUCCUGUCCCAGAGGCUGUGAUUCUUGGCACUGGCUACUUAAUCAGUCAACAGUACUUUUUCAGGGUUCACCAACGUGUACUAUGUAUUAAUGCUUCAUUCUCUCUCUCUCUCUCUCUCUUUUUUUUUUAGAGAGAAUUUUUAAUAUUUAUUUUUUUUAGUUUUCGGCGGACACAACAUCUUUGUUUGUAUGUGGUGCUGAGGAUCGAACCCAGGUGCUCGCAUGCCAGGCAAGCGCGCUACCACUUGAGCCACAUCCCCAGCCCGCUGCUUCAUUCUCUUUUAAGGCCAAUAACAGUAUGAAUAUAUUAUCACCCCUUUGUAUCCAUUGGAGAUUGGUUCUAGGACUCACAGAUACUUUAAAAUUAUCUCUAAAUUACUUGUUAUCAAAUAUGAUAUAAAUAGUUGUUGUAUUGUAUUGUUUAGGGAAUGAUGACAAGAAAAAUAGUCUGUACAUGUUCAGUACAGAUGCAGUCUUUUGUUGUUUUUUUUUCUCCCCAAGUAUAUAAUUUUCAACCCAUGGCUGAUUGAAUCCAAGAAUGCAGACCCUGGAUAUAGAGAGUUGGCUUCUUAUUCAACACUUUAGGAUCAUUUGGAUGGUUCCUCCAAUUUAGGGCUAAUAUGAGUAAUGCUGUUAUAAACAUUUGUGUACAAAGUUUUAUGUGAACAGUAUUUCAAUUCUCAAGUUUUCUACCCCAGUAGUGGAAUCUCUGCAUCAUAUGGUAAUUAUAUGUUUAACUUUGAAGAGCUGCCAAACUUGUUCUUUUCUCCUGUUCAGUGUUUUUCUCCAAUAUGAGGGAUUGAACCCAGGGCUUCAAUCAUGCUAGGUGAGUGCUGUACCACUGAGCUACAUCCCCAGCCCUUUGAAAAUUUUUAUUUUAAGACAGAGUCUGACUAAGUUGCUUAGGCUGGCCUGGAACUUGUGAUCUUCUUGCUUUAGCCUCCAGAGUAACUAGAACUGUAGGUAGCCACCUACAGUGCAUACACCUGUAGGUGUAUGCCACCAUGCUGAACUGAAUACGAAUUCUAUUAAAGUUCCUGGCAAGAAAAAAAAAAAAUGACACAAACUGAACAAGUAGAAUUUUUAUCAAAACUAAGCAUGAAAGCUGGGCAUGGUCUACAUAACUAUGAUCCCAGCAACUUGAUAAACAGGAGGAUUGCAAGUUCAAGGCCAGCAUUGGCAACUUAGUGAUACUUUGGCUCAAAAUUUAAAAAAAAAUAAGAAAAGCCUGAGGAUGUAGUUGAAUGGCAGAGUGCCCCUGAGAUAAGAAAAAAGAUAGCAAAACAUGAUUGUGCUAAUUUUAACCAAAAGCUGAACUCUGUGGUCAGUAAAAUCCAAUUAUAUGGAAUAACUAUGGUGUAUGUACUCCCCUUUAUGCCUCUUGAUUGACAGACUUAAGUCAAACAGACAGACUUCAUUUGUUCUGUUUUCAAUUUGGACUUUCAAUUGUGACUUUCUUUUUUCUAAUUCCAGCAAAAGUUGUUUGAAACCAGAUAUAUAGUUCUUGGAAAUUUCCCUAGUGCCUCAGCAGAAUGGCAUCUUCCCAAGAAAAAAUGUUUAUUCUUUUUGACACCUAGUCUCUAAGAAAGGAAUCCUGGGCUAGGUCUGCUUUUUGCCAGAUAGUCCAGUUGCAUGUAGUUGCUCUGUAAUCUUGGCCAUUGUUCAGAACUGUCAUCGUCUUGUCUUUCUCUUGUAUCAAUUUUUUUUUUCUUGUUUGUUUAAUUGCAUUUCUGGGGAUUGAACUCAAGGCCUCGUGCAUGCUAAGUAAGCAGUCUACCACUGAGCUUCAUCCCCAGCCAUGUGUCAAAAAUAAAAAGGGCUAAAGAUGGUAGCUCAGUGGUAAAAUCCCCUUGGGCUCUAUCACAAGCACCAAGGAAAGAAAGGGAGGGAGGCAGGCAGGCAGGCAAGUUUAAUCUGAAAAAGGAAUAAAUGAGGUGUGACUAUCUGCCUUAAAUGUCUCAAUUUAGGAAAUUGGAGGAACAGUACAUAGACCAUAAUUCUGUCCCAAUUAACUGGACUUAAUUGAACAAUUUAAGGAAAAAAAUGAGCUAUAAAAGAGGGGGAGAGUGAAAAAUCCCUCCUAGCUAAGAUACUUCUUUCCAGGCUUUAUAAUAUUGGGAUCUACCAGGUAUCAGGGAGGUGUGGGGGCUUGCUGCAGAAAUUGGUUCUUUUUCAUGUUCCUACCAUAUGGGUUGGGACAUAAUGCAGGCUGCAUCCUGUUUGGUGUUUCCCAGUAGACAGGUUAAGGGAUUGUUGACCAAGACAGCACUGUAUUCUUUGUAUUCACUCCAAAGGCUUUUUCUAUUUGCACCCAGGGUUGUGGAGAAAGAGCCAUCCUCACCAACCAAGCUUUGACAUUUUGUGAACUAGCAGGGUAGAUAUAUACUCACUCCUGAGUCCCUCAGUCUGUGCACCACGGGGCAGGGCAGACAUCCACACCUUGUUGUAUUCCCCAAUGCCUCAGAGAGUUGGAGGAAGCAAUCAAACCUCUGAAUUGUGUGCUGGAGAUGGGGGUGCUAGUUGUGAGUACCAAGCAAUUUUAUUCUCAGUCUUAGAGCUUUCAAACCUGGAUGCUGUGCAAAACCACAUGGGAUUGGUCUCUCUCCUUGUCCUAGAGAGCAGGACCAUGAGAUGAUUAGCCCUUUGGUCCCCUCACCAUGAUCCGUAUUGCUCAGCCGGGUUUGUGACAGACAUUCCCUUUCCAUGAAUGUCUCCUGGCUAUUUCCCACCCAGUUGUGUUGGGCCCAAAUAGUGAUGCAUGUUUUCUGAUCCCCAGAGCAGGUUAGUCCUUAACAGUAGAAUCCUUGUAAAGUUAUUGUGUUGUGCAGGAGUAAUCACUUUCAGACCAAAUCUCAAACUGGAUUUAAAGCUUGCAAAAACUGGGCUUUGCUGGGUAUGGUAGCGCAUGUCUAUAAUCCUGGUGGUUCAGGUGGUGGAGGCAAGAGGAUUGCAAGUUCAAAGCCAUUCUCAGCUUAGUGAGGCCCUAAACAACUUAGACCCCAUCUCAAAAUUAAAAAAAAAAAAAAAAAAAGGACUGGGAAUGUGGCUAAGUUAAGUGCCCCUGGAUUCAGUCCCUGGUACCAAACAAACAAAAAGGAUGGGUUUCUCCCACUGUUUUCUUCAGAGUUAUCUGCACUCUUUGGCUUACCUUAGCUUGCAGAGUUGGGUUUAUUUCCCCAGUUAGGGGCCUGGGUUGAAGUUGGAAAUUGCUUUCUGCUUUUCUCUGAGUUGCCUCUCCAGUUUUGUGUGCUAUUCAGGUUUCCCUUCACUUCUUUAUUCCCAGAAUUCUUCUCUUUCUAAAACAGUUUCCUUUUUGUACUGACUAUUCUUACUCAGAGUUGCUAGAAUGGUACUUCUCUUUCUUUGUCUUGUUGAAGACCAUCUUUACUGACCACAGUUCAGAUUGACUUAAGGUUGUUUUGAUGAUGAUUUAUGUCUUUUGUGUGUGAUGCUGGGAUUGUGUCUUUUUUUUUUUUUUUUUUCCUCCUCGUUCUUGCCAGGAUUUCAUUUGAAUUGAUGUUAGGGGUAUAGCUCAGUGGUAGGUUGGGGGGUGGGGCUUGUAGCUCUGUGGCAGAAUACAAUAGAGACAGACCUUGAGUUCAGUUCCUGGCACCCAAGAGGAAAGAAUUAAUGUUCAGUUGGAUUAAUAUUUUGGGGGGGGGGGGGGCAGUGAUAGGUAUUGAACCUAGAGCCUCUGCAUAUAGUAAACAGGUGUUUUACCACUGAUGCACAUGCACAGCUUCCCCCGUCUUUUAACUUUUCUUCUUGGUGUGGUGUUUUCGUUUUGCAUUACUGGGAAUAGAAUCCAGGGUGUGUCGUGUGCAAAGCAAACACUUUACAUUAAACUACAUUAUAAGGUUUUGUUUGUUUGUGGGUUUGUUUGUUUUGAGACAGGGUCUUGCUAAGUUGCCCAGACAAGCUUCAAACUUAUAAUUUGAUUCCUACCUCAGCCCCGGAGUAGCUGUGUUUACAGGUAUGUGCCACCAAGCCUACUGAGCAAAUUUUUAAUGGUGUAAUUGAUUUGUGGUAAAUUACACCUACUUGAAGUAUAAGCCCAUGGUAUUUAUAACAUAUGGAUACGUCUAUGAAACUCUUCACAAUCAAGAUAAUUUUGACAGUGUUCAUUAGUGGUGAACAGGUGAAGAAAAUUAUGGUGUAUAAAUAUGCAAAGGAAUAUCAUUGUUAUAAAAAAAAGAAAGAAGGGAACCCUGACAUUUGUGAUAACAUGGAUAAACCAGGAAGGCAUCAUGUUAAGUCAAAAAAGUCAGGCCCAGAGACAAAUACUGCAUGAUCUUACUCAUGUAGAAUCUAAGAAGGGUAAUCUCAGAAUUAGAGAUGGUGGUUACUGGUGGCUGGAGUGGUUGAGGGUAUGGUUAGGUGGAGUGAGUUUAGAGAGUCGGUCAAAGGAUACAAAUUUUGAGUUAUACAAGGAAUAAGUUCUGAUCUGUUGUAGAGUAUAGUGACUAUAGUCCACCACCACCACCACUACUAGAGGCAUAGACAGAGGUUUAUUUUGGAAAGUAGAGGCGUAUUCAAGAAACAGUGUGGGCCAUCUCCUCAGGAAGAAAUAGUAGCCAGUUGAUGGGUAUUAAUAUUUAUAGAGGGACAGUUGCAGUUGCUAGGGUCUGGACUAGAGUUAGAGUUGGGGUAGAAUUGCACAAUUUGGUGUCAGUUUUUCCAGCGCUUGCACAUUAACCUUAUAUUACUUUUUUGCAGGAAGGGGUCAAGAGUAUGGGUCGGGCUGCUCUGGAAUAUGUUUUGCAUUUCAAAGAUUUGUGGGCAUUUAUUGCAUUCCAGUGGCUCAUGGGCUACUCUUUUAAGGCUCAAAGUUUAUCUUUCUUUUUGUGUAUCCCCAAGUUUCCAUAUGAUUCUCCACUUCUACCGUGCAAACUUGGGACCCCUUAAGGGUUGAUGAGGGCCAUUCUCUAGAGAACCUUUGGGUAAAGCAAGGAAUAUACAUUCAAGGGAGAAUGUGGGCCACAUCUCAGAGAGAAACAGUCACGUGCUGCUUAUAUUUAUUAACAAUAUUGUAUUCUCAAGAAAUGCUAAGAGUACAUAUGUUCUCACUUCAAAAAUAACUACAUGAACCAGGCAGCCUGUAAUCCCAGCAGCCUGGGAGAUUGAGGCAGGACGAUUGCAAGUCCAAAGCCAACCUCAACAAUUUAGCAAUGUCCUAAACAACUUAGCAAGAUCUUGUCUUAAAAGAAUUUUAAAAAGGGUUGGGGAUGUAGCUCAGUGAUUGAGCGCCCCUGGAUUCAAUCCCUAGUACCAAAUAAAUAAAUAAAACAGAGGGCUAGGAAUGUAGUUCUGUAGAGGAGCACUUACCUAGCAUGUACGAGGCCCUCAGUUCACUCCCUAUCGCCACAAAAACAAACUGGUUUUGAAAUAAAAUCCAAUUUGUACAUUUCCUCAUAUUUUCGUAAGAAAAAUAGUAUAUAGGCUGGGGUUGUGUCUCAGUGGUAAAGCACUUGCUUAGUAUGUGUGAGGCACUGGGUUUGAUCUUCAGCACCACAUAUAAAUAAAUAAAGGUCCAUUGACAGCUAAAAAAUACUUUAAAAAGAAAAAUAGUACAGGAACACUAUGUUUAUGACUUUUUAUAAAUCAAAGUAGUGCACGUUAUCAGUGUCUUUGCAUUAUUGUCUUUCAUCUAUCAGUGUCAGUUUCUAGUCUCUCAGCAUUAAUUUUAAUUUUGUAUACCAUAUUUUCUUUAGACCUCUUUCUUCCUCUGAGUGUAUGUGUGUUAGUGGGAGCUGAACCCAUGGUUGUUUUGCUGCUGAGCUAUAUUCCCAGCCCCAUUUUUAGUUUUUUUUUUUUUUUUAAAUUUUAGUUGUAGAUGGACACAACACCUUUAUUUAUUUGUUUGUUUGUUUGUUUUUAUGUGGUGCUGAGAAUCGAACCCAGUGCCUCACACAUGCUAGGCGAGCACUCUACCACUGAGCCCCAACCCCACCAUUUUUAGUUUUUUUGAGACUGUGCUUUGUUAAGUUGCUGAGGCUGACCUGGAACUUGUGAUCUUUCUGCCUCAGCUUCCCAAGUUGUUGGGAUUACAGGCAUAUAACACUACACCUGACUAGACCACACACAUACUCCUUUGGUGGGGUGGCGGUGUAUAUAUGGGGCCUGUAUAUGCUAGAAAAGUGCUGUAUCACUGAGCUGCAUUUCCAUCCCUAAACAUACUGUUCUUGACCUUCUACUACUUCUCUUAGUACUUGAUCUUGGAGGAUAUAGUAUAUCUUCAUUUGAAGAUCUGUCUCAUUCCUGCCUUUUUUUUUUUUUUUUUUGGUGGUACUGGGGAUUGAACCCAGGGCCUUGUGCAUGCUUAGGCAAACACUCUACUAACUGAGCUAUAACCCCAGCUCCCUCAUUCCUGCCUAUCUUUUUAUGGGGGUUGGCUAGUACAGGUGAUUGAACCCAGGGGUGCUUUACCACUGAGCUACAUCCCCAGCCCUUUUUUUUUUUCUGGUGGAUACAACAUCUUUAUUUUUAUGUGGUGGUGAGGAUUGAACCCAGCGCCCCAUGCAUUCCAGGUGAGCACAUUACCGCUUGAGCCACAUCCUCAGCCCUUUUGAUUUUUUAUUUUCAGACAGGGUCUCAAUACAUUGCCAGGGGUUCCGCUAAGGUUGCUGAGGUUGGCCUUGAACUUCCAAACCUCCUUUCUUGGCCUCCUUAGUCACCGGGAUUACAGGCAUGUGCUAUCAUACCUGGCCCCUAUUUUGAGGUUGGGGGCAAUACUGGGGAUUAAAUUCAGGGGCACUAGACCAUUGAGGCACAUCUUCAGCCUUAUUUUGUAUUUUAUUUAGAGACAGGGUCUCACUGAGUUGCUUAGCGCCUCACUUUUGCUGAGGCUGGCUUUGAACUUUGUAUCUUCCUGCCUCAUCCUCCCAAUGUGCUGGGAUUAUAGGUGUGUGCCACCACACCCAGCCCAUUUAUUUAUUUCUUAACAGCUGCAUGGUAUGUUUUAUGACUACAAUGUGAAAUAGUGGCAUGAAAUAAUAUAAAACAUUGUUUAGCAAAACCUUACGUGUACAUUUGCUGCAUAUUAUGUGGGUGAAUAUUUGCUAAUAUAUAACUUUGGUUAUAUGUAGAUUAUAUCUUAUACCUACAAGAUAAGCUGAAAGUAGAAUUGCUAGGUCAAAGAGUAUAUGAAUUUAUAAUAUUUGGUAAAAAGUUCAAAUUGCCUUGCUCAAAGAUUUUUCAGUUUGCACUCCCAGUGCCUGUUUUUUAUUUUCUGCCCUGUCUCGUAGAAUGUAUUUUCCCAUGCUUUUGAUCCUUGACAGUAUUAUAAAAGGUGAGAAUGUCAUAUUUUUGAUUUGCAUUUAUCUUAGGUGUGAAAUUAAUUGCCUUUAUAUGUUAAAAAGUCACUUGUAUUUCCUUUACUGCAAAUCAUUUUCCCAGUUGUCUUUUUUAUUAUUAGUACUGCCUUUAAUUGGGGAACUGGGAGGGUUCCAUCUAAAUUAGGGAGAUAAGCUGCUGAGAGCCACAGCCUAGUCGGAAUGAUGCAUGGCAUUUUUGCCAGAAGGGAGUGGUUGAGAGGUGUCCGCCUCAUGGCUGGGCACAAAAUAACCACUUGUAGGUUUUAUUACCCGAACUCCCUCGGGGCCACCCAGGCCACCCACUUGGCCCUUCCAGGAAUACCACCAAUCAGAAAUCCCUCCUCCGGAACUUCCCCAACCAAUGAGAACUCCAAAGUAGCGGGACAGCAGGGGUCUAAUAUACAAUUGAAUACACAGCUUAACAUAACCAUCAUCAUCUCAAUGGCUAGCUGGUCACCUCAGCAAUAAGCUAUUUGCCUGAUCAAUGAGAUACAUUUUUUUGUUCUAUUUUUGCUAUCAGAUGCCAAUUAACUUAUUUUAGUAUUUUUACCUUGUUCCCCCCCACCACCUUUUGGUGUUUUCUUUUUUGAGACAGAGUCUUGUUAAGUUUCCCAGGCUGGCCUCCAGCUUGCAAUCCACCUGCCUCAGCCUCCUGAGUAGCAUACACCACCUUACUCAGCUAAGACUUUUAAAAUAUAGUGUAUUAAGAUUUUUCUUUUAUGGUUCUCGGCUUUUGCAUCAUGAUUAGAAAGGUCUUCUUUGUGAGAUUAUAAAGAAAUUGUGUUCUUCUAGUUCUUGCAUGAUUACUUGGAUCUACUUGGGAGUUUUUCUGCUUAUGAGAUAUGAGGCCUGGAUCAAACUUUCUUUAUUUUUUUUUUGCCUUUGGUACUGGGUAUUGAACCCGUGGGUACUUUACCACUGAGCUAAAUUUCCCAGCCCUUUUUAUUUUUUAUUUUGAGAUAGGGUCUCAUUAAGCUACUCAGGCUAGUCUCACACUUGUGAUCCUCCUGCCUUAACCAGCAAGAGUAGGUAGGAUUACAAAAGUGUGCCACUGUGCUUGGCUUAUUAAACUUUUUCCUGAUAGGUCGUCAUAUAACCAUUAUGCCAACACAAAAUUUAAAAACUUUUUUCUGCAGCUGGGAAUGUAGCUCACAGGCAGAGUAUGUGCUUAGUAUGCUUUUGGACUUUAAUUCAAUCUCCAGUACCACAAAAUAAGCACCAAAAAUAAAUAGUGGGCUGGAGUUGUGGCUUAGUGGUAGAACUCUUGCCUAGCAUGUGUGAGGCACUGGGUUUGAUUCCCAACACCACAUAAAAAUAAACAAGUAAAGGUAUUGUGUCCAUCUACAAAAUAUAUAUAUAUAUAUUUUUUUUAAAACUAAGUAAAUAGAGACUUUUUUUAAGAUUGUGAAGUAUUUUAAACCCAUAGAGAAGGGUAGAGAAUAAUAUAUAGUACAGUCCUUUUAUACCCUUUGUUGAUCCUAUUUCACUCUAUUUUCAUUUUUGCUUGUUUUCUUUUUUUGUGUUUAUACUUCCAUCAUUUUGGAAACUUGGUUGGCUUUGUUUUGUUGAGGAGGCGGUGGUGGAGAGUCUUUAUUUAUGGUCCUAGGGAUUGGACUCUUGUGUUCUAGGGAAGUGUGUUACCACUUGAACUAUAUCCCCAAUCCAAGGCAGUUCUCUUUUAAAAGAAGCAAACAACCAAAUCAACAUAAAAAUGUUUUUCCAAGUGAAAAAAAUUUUUACUAUCUUUACUUCAUCUAGUAAAUAGUAUAUCACCCAGGAAAACGGUUCAGCAAUGACUUUUUUUUUUUUUUUGGUACCAGGGAUUGAACCCAGGGGUAUACCACUGGGUCACACCCAGCCCUUUUUAUUUUGAGACAGGGUCACACUGAGUUGCUUAGGGCCUUGCUGAGCUGCUGAGGCUAGCUUUGAACUUGCAGUCCUCCUGCCUCAGCCUCCCAAGUCACUAUGAUUACAGGCAUGCGCCGCCAUGCUCAGAAGCAAUGACUGUCUUUAAAUGGUUUUAUUUUUUUCAAGGGGUUGGGAGAUAAUGAGGAUUAAACCCAGGACCUUGAACAUGCUAGGCAAGCUGUCUUGCUGAGCUACACCCCUUUAUUUUUACUUCGAGACAGGGUCCUGUGGAGUUGUCCAGACCAGCUUUGAAUUUGUGAUUCUCCUGCCUUGAUCUCUUGAGUGACUGGAAUUAUAAGCAUAUGCCACCAGGUCCAUUUCUCUAAAUUUUUUUUUUUAAAGGUCACAAUUUGAUUCUAUUUGAGAUUCUGCUGAGCUUCAGACUUGAGCAGACUUUAUAGUCUCUCUCUUUUUUUUUUUUUAGAGAGAAUUUUAAUAUUUAUUUAUUUAUUUUUAGUUUUCAGUAGACACAAUAUCUUUGUUUGUAUGUGGUGCUGAGGAUCUAACCCCGGCAACACGCAUGCCAGGCGAGAGCGCUACCGCUUGAGCCACAUUCCCAGCCCCUCUCUAAAUUUUUUUUAGGUAGUUGUGUCAUUUUUCAUAGUCAGAUAUUCUGUGACUGGGGGUAUAUAGCUCUGUAAUAGAAUCCUGGGUUCAAUAAUAGUAAUUUAAAAAAAAAAGAUAUUCCAGAAUAUUUCCCAUUUGGCAGUUUUUAUUCUAAAUUUUGAAACUACAAACCUUGAACUCAACCAACUACCUCUCCCGUUUUUUUUUUUUUUUUUCUGUUUGGUGUGUAAUGAGACUUCUCUUACUUCGUAGGGUAUCAGUUAGCAGAGCCAUCAAGCCCUUUGCAGAACCUGGCCGCCCUCCAGACUGGUUCUCUCAAAAAGUAAGUUACUAAAUAGGUGCUUUAUUAUAGUCAUUGGGAUUUAAAGUAGGGCUCUCUACCAAGUUCUGCCUUAUAAUUACAAAGCUUUUAUACCAUGAAAUGAGAAAAUAGUUAAAUGCUUUUCUUUCCUCCCACUUUUCUAAUCUGUGUAUGCUCAUUCUUAUAAAAUCUUCUUGUCAGUGUUGUAUAACAGUUAAGAGCCCAAUUUUGGGUGUUAGACAGAUUUGGGUUCUGUAUGAUUCCAUCUAAAAACUUUAGACCAUGAUCCUCAGUUCUCUUGUUUAUGAAAUAGACAUAAAAAUUGCUUCGGUAAUGUUGUAAAGUAAUUGAGCUGAUACAUGUAAAACACUUUAGUAGAAUACUUUGCAUAUGGUAAUUACUCUGUGUUAUUAUAAAUAUUGGCUAGUGGGUUGGCUUUCCCCAAAGACACCCGAGGACAGAAGACUUCUUUUUCUUUCGUGGUAUUAAUUAUUUUGAACUGAUUGGAUUGCAAAGUAAUUUGUCCUAUAAACUGUACACACUGCUGGGUCCUGUGAUGUAUGCAAAAGAAAAGCAAAAGAAACCACAUACAUCUUAAACAUAGCUCUCUUUUCUAAACUUUGCUUAAAUUUGUUGAAACUUGAAAAGCUUAUUCGUUUCCAGGAUUGCUCAUCACGUUUUUACUUUUUUCCAUAGCAUUGUGCUUCUCAGUACUCAGAGCUCCUAGAAACCACUGAGACCCCAAAGUGAGUAUAAAGCCAGAUAUUUCAGGCAGAUCCCUUUAGUGGCAAGUGUUUACUGUGGAAAUCUAGUUUAUACCUAUUUGGGGAUGAUAAAAGUAUUGCAGAGGGAUGGGGUUAUGGCUCAGUGGUAGAGUGCUUGCCUAGCAUGAGUGAGGCACUAGAUUUGAUCCUCAGUACCACAUAAAAAUAAAAGAUAUUGUGUUCACCUAAAACUAAAAAAUAAAUUUAUGAUUAAGUAGUAGAGAAGUCUUGAAGAAAACAAGUGGGAGUGGAAACAAAUGUCCUCUUAAUAAGAUGAAUUUUUCCCCUCACAGACGCAAAAGAGGUGAAAAGGGAGAAGUAGUAGAAACUGUGGAAGAUGUGAUUGUUCGGAAACUGACUGCUGAAAGAGUGGAGGAACUGAAAAAAGUGAUAAAGGAAACCCAGGAGAGAUAUAGGUACUCAACUCAUCAGAGCACAUAUCAAAUGGUUUGGAAAGACAAAGGGGACUAAUUUCUUGUACUGGUCAGAAUUUUUAAAAUAGAUUAUUUUUAAAAGAUACCAGAAUGGACUGGGAAUAUAGCUCAGUUGUAGAGUGCUUUCCUAGGUCCUGGGUUAAAUCACUAGCACCAUAAAAAACAGUUGAGCUAGGUGUGGUGGUGCAUUCCCAGCAAUUUAGGAGGCAGGCAGGAGAAUUGCUCGUUCAAAACCAAUCUAAGCAAUUUAGUGAGACUCUGUCUGAAAAUUUUAAAAAGGGCUGGAGAAUUGGCUCAUUGGUAAAACACCUCUGGGUUCAAUCCCUAGUACCAAAACUAAAACUAAAAUAAAAUAAAUAAAAAACCAGUUGUCAAUUUGAAGGUUGAGGUGGAACAAUCACUUAAGCCCACAAGUUUGGGACCAACCUGGGCAACAUAGCAAAACCCUGUUUCAAAAAGAUUAUCAUUCUGUCUGCUUUUUCUUCCUAUAGACGGCUGAAAAGAGAUGCAGAACUAAUUCAAGCAGGGCACAUGGACAGCAGACUGGAUGAGCUUUGCAAUGACAUUGCCAUGUGGGUUAUAAUCUUCCAUCUGUGCUCCUUUCUGUCUCACCUCUUUCCUUCCCAAGUAAUCUAUCUUCUUUCCUCCUCCUGCCAUCCCUUUUGACUUGAGACAGAUUCUAGGAAAGCAAUAGCACUGGUUUGGUGUGUGGGAGUGGGGAAUGAGGCCUUAGAGGGUUAUAGAAUAUUUCAAUAUGAGAACAUAUUAAUUCUAACUUAAAAGGUCUCUGUUUUGCCUGGGUGAAGAACUGAGAGUUAGUAUACCCCAAUUCCCUGUUUUGAUGAUUAGAUUCCCUGCUUUCAGAAACAGCAGAUAUUGGGGGGGGG
rnacentral:lncRNA from 1 species